CGUCGACUCGUUCCUCCGUACAAUUCGAGAUGGUCUCCGUCGGUCGUCGUUGGAUCUGGGCCCUUCUGGCCUCCUUGUUGCUACUCCACACCCUGGCAGAGGCCGGAAGAGGCAAGGAGAUAAUGAGCAAAAUCAAGAAAAAGCUAGCCGAUGGUAUUUAUUUUCCUUCUUAUCUCUACGUUCUUACUCUUAUCAAUUUCUGUUCAUAUUCGUCUACUCCGACCUUGUUUAUUAAUAGGACCUUAAUAGCUUAUACCGGUGUAUUUUCCGAAUGGCAAAGAGAGGAGUUUUUAGUCGAAAGUCAAAACAAAAUAAAAAUAAAGAUACUUUGUUGUUCCGUUCCGUCCUGUUAAUAAACGAGGUCCGAGUAGACGAAGAUACAAACAGAAAUUGCUAUUUAUUUCCGUUGGCGCCCGCUUCUUCCGCCCGGACCGUCUCCGGCCUCCCCUCCGCCGAAGCGGGAGAAAAGGAGGCUAGGGGAGAAUUAGCGUCCGGUCUCUUCCGCUCUUUUCCCGUUUCGGCAAUUCCGUGGAAAUUGUUUCGUCGGUGGCCGCUGGAUUCGGGCCCUCCGUAGAAAUUAGCCGUGGUCGGGCAUUUUUAAACAGGCAAAAAGAAGGCCGCCUCCCGCUUACUCCGUGGUCCGUCUUCAAACGCGGUAAACGUCGACUCGGACGGAAGGCUCCGAAACGGGCGAUUACAAUUAAAACCUGGUAGAAUUGUUUGUAACCGGGCCCAAAAGUCUGGGGUGCGGCCCCGCGUCGGAUGCUUCGGCGUUAGAACCGGGAAGAACGAGACGGAACAAAAAGGCGGAGUUCGCCUUAGGCCCGAAACUAGCCGGCGCGGAAGAACGAGCCAACGGAGUAGAUCGGGGGCCCCCUAGACCCACGUCGGUCCACGCCUCCGG